rnacentral:lncRNA from 1 species
AAAGAAGUUGUAAUGCUUCUCAAAUAAUAUAUAGGGGAUACUUUCCAUUUGAUCUUCUUCUCCAUAGAGAUUGAGCUCAACUAACAUGGUAUUAGAGAAGUGGGGCUCAAACCUCACUAUAUUCUACUCACGCUUCACUUUCCAAUGGUGAUUGGAAGGAGAAUUUGUCAUCAUCUAGGAAAGCGACAUCAUUGGGGAGAUCCUCCAAUCUCAAGAUUUCACCACCAGAUUCACCAAUCACACCAACGGAAUUGUCGAUGCAUUCACUCUCCAUUCUAUCUCAUUGAUUAUAAUCCAGGUUUUUCAACUAUUUUUAAAGUACUUAAUGGUACCAAUUACGAUAAUUGGUGUACCAGCUUCUAUUCCAAUGGCUUCGAGUGCGAAACCCUUUCAUGAUCCUGAUAAACUAAUUCUGGAUGAGCCUGGUGUGUAUAGAAGAUUGGUUGGUCGGCUCAUGUACC